UUGCUCGUAAAGCAAUUCAUGGCAAUGACACCAGGAUUCUUUUUGAUUCAACGGUAGUGCCAAUAAAGGAAAGUGAUGACCAAAUAAUAUCCUGGUUGCAACUGACUUACUGCCAGCUGACAUCGACGUCGAUGCGUGGCGACGAUUUGCUUGAAAUCUUUGUGUGGAUCUUUUGUAUCUUACAACGACAGGCGCCCUUAUAGCAUCAUGGCGUACUGACAUAUCCGAUUGGGAUUACAUAUCCUGACUGUGCAAACUGCUAUAUGAAAAAAAUAAGGUAAUUCCCAUUUUUUUUUCUUUUAUGUACGACUCCCCGAAAUGUAAGCUGUCAGGCCAAACGAGAGAUGUUACACAAGACAGAGACUGAGGAAAUGGAGGAACAAGAAAUUCCGCCGAUUCGUAACAUUUGGCUCAAUACAUCCAUGUACCCGAGUGUCGAGAAACAAUGUGUGUUGUUAGUUCUCGUUCACUUGACUGAGCUCUUUCCAAAUAAAUCAUCGGUACUCACCCCAAAAAUGCUGAUGACUCUUUGCAUCCUCCACUGCUCAAGUUUUCUAGUCGACCGGAUAUGCUACCGUACAGGCUUAUUCCUUGAUGCAGCUCAGAUAACAACCGUUCCGUCACCAUCUACUAACCCCGAGAUAAGUCAUCGCAUGUUUUUUUCUUGUGAGUCAAAAAUAAUGCUCUAUAUGUCACUUUUAUAUUCUAGGAUUUUUCUUUCCACGUGUCUGCUUAUUUACAGAUGUCCACCACGAAAGGAAAAGAAAGAAAGUGAACAACGCAGAAGCAAGGAAAAAAGAUUAGGAUGCUCUGCUUGUAGCGUUCGUCCGUCCUCCGCCCGUCUCUGUACCGCUUGCGGCGACAACGACAAAACGGGAAUCGA